rnacentral:rRNA from 1 species
CCUACGGGUGGCAGCAGUGAGGAAUAUUGGUCAAUGGGCGCAAGCCUGAACCAGCCAAGUCGCGUGCGGGAUGACGGCUCUAUGGUUUGUAAACUUCUUUUAUACGGGAGUAAAGUGCGGGACGUGUCCCGUUUUGUAUGUACCUUAUGAAUAAGGAUCGGCUAACUCCGUGCCAGCAGCCGCGGUAAUACGGAGGAUCCGAGCGUUAUCCGGAUUUAUUGGGUUUAAAGGGUGCGUAGGCGGCCUGUUAAGUCAGCGGUGAAAGUCUGUGGCUCAACCAUAGAAUUGCCGUUGAUACUGUGGGGCUUGAGUAUAUUUGAGGCAGGCGGAAUGCGUGGUGUAGCGGUGAAAUGCAUAGAUAUCACGAAGAACUCCGAUUGCGAAGGCAGCUUACUAAACUGUAACUGACGUUGAGGCUCGAAAGCGUGGGUAUCAAACAGGAUUAGAUACCCCGGUAGUC